CGAGUGGCGGACGGGUGAGUAACACGUAGGUAACCUGCCCAGAAGCGGGGGACAACAUUUGGAAACAGAUGCUAAUACCGCAUAACAGCGUUGUUCGCAUGAACAACGCUUAAAAGAUGGCUUCUCGCUAUCACUUCUGGAUGGACCUGCGGUGCAUUAGCUUGUUGGUGGGGUAACGGCCUACCAAGGCGAUGAUGCAUAGCCGAGUUGAGAGACUGAUCGGCCACAAUGGGACUGAGACACGGCCCAUACUCCUACGGGAGGCAGCAGUAGGGAAUCUUCCACAAUGGGCGCAAGCCUGAUGGAGCAACACCGCGUGAGUGAAGAAGGGUUUCGGCUCGUAAAGCUCUGUUGUUAAAGAAGAACACGUAUGAGAGUAACUGUUCAUACGUUGACGGUAUUUAACCAGAAAGUCACGGCUAACUACGUGCCAGCAGCCGCGGUAAUACGUAGGUGGCAAGCGUUAUCCGGAUUUAUUGGGCGUAAAGAGAGUGCAGGCGGUUUUCUAAGUCUGAUGUGAAAGCCUUCGGCUUAACCGGAGAAGUGCAUCGGAAACUGGAUAACUUGAGUGCAGAAGAGGGUAGUGGAACUCCAUGUGUAGCGGUGGAAUGCGUAGAUAUAUGGAAGAACACCAGUGGCGAAGGCGGCUACCUGGUCUGCAACUGACGCUGAGACUCGAAAGCAUGGGUAGCGAACAGGAUUAGAUACCCUGGUAGUCCAUGCCGUAAACG
rnacentral:rRNA from 1 species